AAAAUCCUUCCUGAGCUCUCCAGUGAAUUUAGAUAUUUAAGAAUUAAGAGCCAUGUGUCCAACUAUAUAUGUAAGAGAGAUAAAGAAAUAGAGGGACUGGAAUUCUUAUUAAAACAUGGAGUUUAAACUAGAGUUGUAAUGAAAAGCAUCUUGUUCAAUGAACAAGAUUUACCAUCAGGUAGACCUGUUUCAACUUUAAAAGGUAAAUGGAAAAAAGAGUUGGAU